CUUCCUUGUGUACUUCCUGCUGUAGACCCCAAAACCUUGUGGUGGAGGGGGCUUAAAGUUCCACCCCACAUCAAAAACACCCCCAACCCUUCAUGACCCCACAAGAUGGCGAACGCCCGCCUGCCAACUACGCCCCCUCUGCCUGGGGCAUAAUGACGAAGCCAUCAAACGGAUGGAAAAUGAAAAAGAUAUCUGCUGCACUACUGAAGUUUCCACUCAUCAACUGAAUCCAACGCACAAUUAUGAAAACAUACAAGUAAAAAUGAACAUAAUCAAAGUUAAAUUGUCAUAAUUAUCUUUAUUAGUAAAAUGUAGUAAUAGGAGCACCGGCAAAAGAACAUUUACUAUAUUUAACUGUCUGUGAAAUAUAUCACAUAAAGAAAAUAUAAGGUGUACAUUACAGUCAUUUAAAGGAAUAAAUCACCCAAAUUUGAAACUUCUCUCAUAAUUUAAUAAACGUGAUGCCAUUUA